rnacentral:tRNA from 1 species
GCCUCGAUAGCUCAGUUCGGUAGAGCAUCUGACUUGUAAUCAGAGGGUCGCGAGUUCAAGUCUCGCUCGAGGCU